AUAAAUACAGGGAGAUACCACGGUCACACAGGUGGUUUUCCCAGGGUAAUGCUCAUCCAUUGCACUCCACUUGUGCUGACCCCCGCCCCCCAAAAGCAGGCAACUCAAGGGCAUUAAUUCAUGUAGUGGGAAACAGUGUUUGUGCUUUCCCCU
rnacentral:snRNA from 1 species